AAAUGCAAAAUCAGGUUUCUUGAUUUCAUAGACCUUGUAUUUGAACUGGCUGGUACAUUCAUUUUACCCAUGGAACUUUGGGCCAAUGUGUGUCCUUUUUGUAAAUAGAUGCAGGAAGAGCUAA
rnacentral:ribozyme from 1 species